rnacentral:misc_RNA from 1 species
UCCGCGGAGCGGUCAGGGCGCCGGCGCGGAAUGCCGGCGUUAAGCUCUCAUUCGGCCUUUGCGGACGGCAGGAUGAGGGAGGUAACCGUGUGGAUGACGAUGGCACCGCUGGAGGCGGCCCAGAGAUCCACCUCCCUGCUGUUCUCCCGGAGUCGUCGCUUGUUGUCUCUGUUGACGAGUGGCAGACUGUCAGAUCCGGCGGGG